rnacentral:lncRNA from 1 species
UCAUUAUCCACAGCCAGCAUGCAUCCCUCGCUCUCUCUUUUUCUCCAUCUCCCGCUCUCUUUCUGCAGUUCUCCAUCCAUCCCUCUCUACUCUGUCCCCGCCUACAGAAGGUUACAAGGUGAAGACAGGGACUACAAGUACGACAGUGGCCGUGUGGAUGAGGUAGCACUUCCGCCAGCCACCACUGAGAGGCGCUGUCGCUCAACCUCAGCCCUGGCAGAGAAACCCACUUGAACUUCUGGAUCGGACCGGAGACAGCGUCAGCUGCUCACUUCGGUGCCAGCAUCUAAAAGUUACCCGGGGUGGCGAGAUCUGCUGAGCUGUCUCUUCUUCAACCCACUGCAGUACGACUUAUUAACCCAAACUCCCCGUCUAAACUUUUACUAUCUCUCUCUAUCUUUCUAGUCUCACUGUUGAGGGUUAAACCAGCAUGUGUUCUAUCAAUCUGUGGUCCAAUAUAAACUAAUCCCUCUUAUUUUGUUAAUCCAAUUUCCGGACGUGUUC